rnacentral:rRNA from 1 species
UACGUAGGUGACAAGCGUUGUCCGGAUUUACUGGGCGUAAAGAGCGCGCAGGCGGUCGAUCAAGUCGAGUGUGAAAGCCCCUGGCUCAACUGGGGAGGGUCACGCGAUACUGUUCGACUCGAAGGCAGGAGAGGGAAGUGGAAUUCCCGGUGUGGUGGUGAAAUGCGUAGAUAUCGGGAGGAACACCAGUGGCGAAGGCGACUUCCUGGCCUGUUCUUGACGCUGAGGCGCGAAAGCUAGGGUAGCAAACGGG